rnacentral:rRNA from 1 species
GAUGAACGCUGGCGGCGUGCCUAAUACAUGCAAGUCGAACGAACCGCGACUAGGUGCUUGCACUUGGUCAAGGCGAGUGGCGAACGGGUGAGGAACACGUGGGUAACCUACCUCAUAGUGGGGGAUAACAGUCGGAAACGACUGCUAAUACCGCAACGGACAUGGGGUCACAUGAUUCUGUGAGGAAAGGUGGCGCAAGCUAUCGCUACGAGAUGGACCGACGGUGCAUUAGCUAGUUGGUAGGGUAACGGCCUACCAAGGCGAUGAUGCAUAGCCGACCUGAGAGGAUGAUCGGCCACAUUGGAACUGAGACACGGCCCAAACUCCUACGGGAGGCAGCAGUAGGGAAUCUUCCGCAAUGGGCGCAAGUCUGACGGAGCAACGCCGCGUGAGUGAAGAAGGUCUUCGGAUCGUAAAGCUCUGUUGUUAGAGAAGAACAGCGCAUAGAGUAACUGUUAUGCGUGUGACGGUAUCUAACCAGAAAGCCACGGCUAACUACGUG